CUCGAUAUCGAUAUCCGUUCAAACAGAUGCUUUAAGACUUCUCUUUAGUUGUUCACUGACUUGGAUGUUUCAGAUAACUUAAAAGGGAUGGGACAUUAAAAUUUGUUACUGAAGAUCAUAAAGGGAAAAAUUGGUCUGGUGUAAGACAAAUGUCGGAUUCUGUAAUGCUAAAGACCAAUUCAACUGCUCUUUUAGUAGUAUGUUUCGCUGGGUAUGCUCAAGAUGCUUGAAAGUUAUCAUAAUUGCACAUGACUCUCGAUGAAUAGUACUACAUGUGCAGUGGAUGGAAAAUGAAGGAAAUUGGCUUUCAUGGUUCCAAAGAAUGUGCAUGGUGAAGGUAUACACC